GACGAACGCUGGCGGCGUGCUUAACACAUGCAAGUCGAACGGAAAGGCCCUGCGUUUUUGGGGUGCUCGAUUGGCGAACGGGUGAGUAACACGUGAGUAACCUGCCCUUGUCUUUGGGGUAACUUCAGGAAACUGGGGCUAAUACCGGAUAGGAUCUCCUGCUGCGUGGUGGGCGUUGGAAAGUUUCGGCGGUUGGGGAUGGACUCGCGGCUUAUCAGCUUGCUGGUGGGGUAGUGGCUUACCAAGGCUUUGACGGGUAGCCGGCCUGAGAGGGUGACCGGCCACAUUGGGACUGAGAUACGGCCCAGACUCCUACGGGAGGCAGCAGUGGGGAAUAUUGCACAAUGGGCGGAAGCCUGAUGCAGCAACGCCGCGUGCGGGAUGACGGCCUUCGGGUUGUAAACCGCUUUCGCCUGUGACGAAGCGUGAGUGACGGUAAUGGGUAAAGAAGCACCGGCUAACUACGUG
rnacentral:rRNA from 1 species